GACGAACGCUGGCGGCGUGCUUAACACAUGCAAGUCGAACGGAAAGGCCCUGCUUUUGUGGGGUGCUCGAGUGGCGAACGGGUGAGUAACACGUGAGUAACCUGCCCUUGACUUUGGGAUAACUUCAGGAAACUGGGGCUAAUACCGGAUAGGAGCUCCUGCUGCAUGGUGGGGGUUGGAAAGUUUCGGCGGUUGGGGAUGGACUCGCGGCUUAUCAGCUUGUUGGUGGGGUAGUGGCUUACCAAGGCUUUGACGGGUAGCCGGCCUGAGAGGGUGACCGGCCACAUGGGAACUGGGAUACGGCCCAGACUCCUACGGGGGGAAGCGGGGGGAAAUAUGGCACAUGGGGCGGAAGCCGAAUGCAGCAACGCCGCGGGGGGGAUGACGGCCUUCGGGUUGAAACCGCUUUCGCCUGUGACGAAGCGUGAGUGACGGUAAUGGGUAAAGAAGCACCGGCUAACUACGUG
rnacentral:rRNA from 1 species